GAUGAACCCUGGCGGCGUGCCUAAUACAUGCAAGUCGAGCGAACAGACGAGGAGCUUGCUCCUCUGACGUUAGCGGCGGACGGGUGAGUAACACGUGGAUAACCUACCUAUAAGACUGGGAUAACUUCGGGAAACCGGAGCUAAUACCGGAUAAUAUAUUGAACCGCAUGGUUCAAUAGUGAAAGACGGUUUUGCUGUCACUUAUGGAUGGAUCCGCGCCGCAUUAGCUAGUUGGUAAGGUAACGGCUUACCAAGGCAACGAUGCGUAGCCGACCUGAGAGGGUGAUCGGCCACACUGGAACUGAGACACGGUCCAGACUCCUACGGGAGGCAGCAGUAGGGAAUCUUCCGCAAUGGGCGAAAGCUUGACGGAGCAACGCCGCGUGAGUGAUGAAGGUCUUCGGAUCGUAAAACUCUGUUAUUAGGGAAGAACAAAUGUGUAAGUAACUAUGCACGUCUUGACGGUACCUAAUCAGAAAGCCACGGCUAACUACGUG
rnacentral:rRNA from 1 species